GGAGAGNUGGCUGAGUGGUUGAUA
rnacentral:tRNA from 1 species